UUCAUAUUUUAAUGAAAAAUUAUUAAUGGUCAAUGGCGCAUAUUCGCAUAGUUUUAUUUUGAAAUGGUUACGAACUAAAGAAAAAGUAUUUAGCGCAGAGUGCAACUUUUCUAUGGAGUUUGCAUACCUGACUUCAUAUUGAGAAUUUGUUAUUCACAAGCUAUUAUGACUAUUAAGAUAAUUUAAUCAAUUUUUUAAGGCGUUGGAUUGCCAAUGCAGAACGUGCUUGCUUAAAUAUUAUUUUGGAAUAAUAUUUGUGCACGGUUUCUAAUUUAUGCACUGCUCGUAGCUGUGGUCACUGUGUCCAGUUAGGAGUUUUUUCAGAGUCAAACUGCUCUGUUGAUCUUAUUAAUGCUGGACACGCCAAAGACGUGCAGCUCUGUCGAAACUCAUCUCAACAUGAAACAAAACGACACUCAGACUCAGGAUACACAGGAGAGUCAUGCAAACAGAUGUCCUUUAGUGGAGGACAGAGCAGAAGCAACAUUCAGACUGUAGUAAUUGUUUAUGCUGAUGACAGGUUAUUCUGAAGAUCAGGAAGGUGUGUUGCAAACGUCAACCGAGCAAACUGAAAGGCCACCAGAAGACGAGUCUUUGAAUGUGAGCUGUGUGGAAAGGCCUUUCCAAAGAUGUUUUCUCUAGUUCACCACAAACGUGUGCAUUCAGUCAUAAAGCUGCACUGCUGUGAAAAAUGUGGGAAGAAGUUCUCACAAGUAAGAGCGCUAGAGACACAUCUCUGCAAACAUAUGCAGAAGUUUGAGAAGUUAUUUCCCUGCACCACUUAUGGAAAGAGCUUCAGAGACCUCGCAGCACAUGAACGGGUCCACGCGGAAGUCAAACCA